rnacentral:rRNA from 1 species
GACGAACGCUGGCGGCGUGCUUAACACAUGCAAGUCGAACGGAAAGGCCCUGCUUUUGUGGGGUGCUCGAGUGGCGAACGGGUGAGUAACACGUGAGUAACCUGCCCUUGACUUUGGGAUAACUUCAGGAAACUGGGGCUAAUACCGGAUAGGAUCUCCUGUUGCAUGGUGGGGGUUGGAAAGUUUCGGCGGUUGGGGAUGGACUCGCGGCUUAUCAGCUUGUUGGUGGGGUAGUGGCUUACCAAGGCUUUGACGGGUAGCCGGCCUGAGAGGGUGACCGGCCACAUUGGGACUGAGAUACGGCCCAGACUCCUACGGGAGGCAGCAGUGGGGAAUAUUGCACAAUGGGCGGAAGCCUGAUGCAGCAACGCCGCGUGCGGGAUGACGGCCUUCGGGUUGUAAACCGCUUUCGCCUGUGACGAAGCGUGAGUGACGGUAAUGGGUAAAGAAGCACCGGCUAACUACGUG